rnacentral:lncRNA from 1 species
AAGGAAAGCUCCCUGCACCUGGAGACACCAUUUUGACCAUCUCUUUUGUGAGAUGUCAUGUGGUUUUUAUUAAUUUAGGCGCUGGACACCCUCUGCUGUGGCUUUCCCCUGAGCCCUGGAUGGCUGAUCAACUCAUUUACUCUGAGGAACUCAUGACUGAUCAUGGCUCGUUGUGAGGAUGGAUUAGAAUGAGGCACAGAAAGCUCUUAGCACAGAAGCAUUAGCUCCACCGCGAGCCUGCUGCAGACAGCCAUGGGCAUGAUCUGGCCCCCGGACUUUCAC